rnacentral:rRNA from 1 species
CGUAACGGGGCUAAGCAUAAUACCGAAGCCAUGGGAUUGAUAUGGAGACAUAUUGAUCGGUAGGGGAGCGUUCUGUGAGCGGAGAAGGCACACUGAGAAGAGUGUUGGAGCGAGCAGAAGUGAGAAUGCAGGCAUGAGUAGCGCAAAACAUGUGAGAACCAUGUUCGUUGAAAAUCCAAGGUUUCCGACGUCAAGUCAAUCUGCGUCGGGUUAGUCGGGGCCUAAGGCGAGGCCGAGAGGCGUAGUCGAUGGACAACUGGUAAAAAAUCCAGUACCGAUUGUGGAGAGUGAAGGGGGGACACAACGAGGGAAUCCGGCCUGUUAGUGAAUUCAGGUGGAUGAACGUCAGGCGAAGAGACCGGGAAAGAAAAAGCCCGGACGAGCUGAGGGAAAUCAGGAGGCGCAAGCCAGAACCUGGAGGGACCUUGUUGGCGAGAAAAGCCUCUAAGCGAAGAGACACAAUUGCCCGUACCGGAAACCGACACUGGUGGAUAAGUAGAAGAUACAAAAACGAACGGGAGAACUAUCGUUAAGGAACUAGGCAAAAAGGCCCCGUAACUUAGGGAGAAGGGGUGCUCACGGAACUGAAAGGUAAAGUGAGUUGCAGUGAAAGGGCUCUAGUGACUGGUUAUCAAAACCACAGGUCUCUGCGAAGUUGAAAGACGAAGUAUAGGGGCUGACGCCUGCCCAGUGCCGGAAGGUUAAGGGGAGAGGUUAGACGGAAGUCGAAGCUUUGAACUGAAGCCCCGGUGAACGGCGGCCGUAACUAUAACGGUCCUAAGGUAGCGAAAUUCCUUGUCGGGCAAGUUCCGACCCGCACGAACGGCGUAACAACUAGAGCACUGUCUCAACGAUAGACCCGGUGAAAUUGAAAUGGCUGUGAAGAUGCGGCCUACCCGCAGCAGGACAAAAAGACCCCGUGGAGCUUUACUGUAACCUGGCAUUGAGUUUAGGUAUUAUCUGUGUAGGAUAGGUGGGAGACUGAGAGAUCAGGGCGCAAGCCUUGGUGGAGUCGACGGUGAAAUACCACCCUGAUGAUAUUUGGGCUCUAACCUUAAUCCAAGAACUGGAGAAGGGACCGUGUCAGGCGGGCAGUUUGACUGGGGCGGUCGCCUCCAAAAGGGUAACGGAGGCGCCCAAAGGUUCCCUCAGACAGAAUGGAAACCUGUCAGAGAGUGUAAAGGCAGAAGGGAGCUUGACUGUAAGACCAACGCGUCGAACAGAUACGAAAGUAGGGCUUAGUGAUCCCACGGUACAGAGUGGAAUGGCCGUGGCUUACCGGAUAAAAGCUACCCCGGGGAUAACAGGCUGGUGAAGUCCAAGAGUUCACAUCGACGACUUCGCUCGGCACCUCGAUGUCGGCUCAUCGCAUCCUGGGGCUGUACAAGGUCCAAGGGUCCGGCUGUUCGCCGGUUAAAGCGGUACGCGAGCUGGGUUCAGACCGUCGUGAGACAGGUCGGUCUCUAUCCGCUGUGGGCGAAAGAGAAUUGAGAAGAGCUGCCCCU